GAGACCCAGGAUUGAGUCCCACAUCGGGCUCCCUGCAUGGAGCCUGCUUCUCCCUCUGCCUGUGUCUCUGCCUCUCUCUCUCUCUCUCUCUCUCUCUCUCUCUCUCAUGAAUAAAUAAAUAAAAUCUUUUAAAAAAUUAAAAAAAAUAAAGUGAGUAAGGACACCACCAAAGCACUGGAAGAUAAAACCCACCAGCUGGAUAUGUUUCCUAGGACGGCCCAGAGGUACUCUACUGAAUUGGUAAGGAACGGCUGGUGAAAGGGACACUGCUACCCCUGAGCAUCUCUGUCGUGGCGGUCUUCUAGCAGACCUGGGUUGAUGCUGCCACAGACCUGGACUCCAUCUCUCACUGGACAUGACAGGAUUCCAGAAUGGCAGGGUCCACAGGCAGCACUGAGCCAUCAGAAGCAAAGUGUCUGUAAUUAAUGUGACGUUGCUCAAAUUGGAAUGUCUACCCAGUAACCUUUCAGCCACAGGGGAAGAUGUCUACUAGAACAUGUUGCUAUGAGAGAGACAGAUGAGUAUCUGAGGGCAAGCACGAUUUGUGCAAGCAAAAAAGCUCUCAAGAACAAUGUUAGUGACUGCAGUGGGAAAUUGUGACCCUCUCACCCCAGUGUCCAGACCUGGACCAGUUCUCAGACCCAGACUCACUGACUGAAGUGGAAGUAAGAUCACCUCAAGCAAAGACUCUGAAGGCAAUCGUACAUGUAUUCAUAGAACCCAUUCCCUCACUCCUUCCUCAAAUGAUACUGAGAUCCUGAAGAAAGGGAAGUACUCCAAUAUUAGCAGUAGUUCUCUGAUACAGGGUCUGCUGAGCUGCCAUUGAUAACAGGGCAGAUAAUGUGAUGGUGAUCAUCCAUUAGCGCAGGGACAGACAGAGGCAAGGUAACAAACAUUGCUGGCACACGUCCUCCUCGUGACUUAUGCCAUGCAUGGUGUCCUCUUCCUGGCCCUUGGCUGAAGAAUCAACAGAUGUCCUUAGCAGCUGGCGGAAUCCUCUCACCGGUUCCCUGACAGAGGGAGACGGAGUCACUACAGUAGCCAAGGCUACUCCUAACUGCCUUCUGUCAAAAGCCCCUCCCAACUGCCUUCUCCACCAACACAGGAGCAAUACGCAACUAAGGUAGGAGCAGAAGUAAUGUUUACCCAAAGGACUUAAGAAUGGUGGGCCACGUUUCUUCCCAAUUGAGAUCCCUUUGUGGCCCCCUGAAAAAUCCUUAAUAUGGCAGUUGCUUGUUCUGUGACCUCCGGUCACCCUUCAGGGGAAUCAUCUGAGACGGGGAGCAAGGCUCAUCGACACCCUCCAGUUAUCUUACCUUUGUGGCUGCAAGAAAUUCACCCCAGGCCAUGUUUCUUUUGGGAAGCUCCAGCCCAUGUUUGAGCGUGGUGGCACUAAACCAGGGCCACACUGCUGCCCAAAGUAGGAGGCUGUAAAGGGUCGCUGUGGCUCAAGGGCUCCCCACUGGCCUGGGUAAACCAGAUUCACACCUACUCUGUUGUCUGAGGCUCUUAUAAUAUGAUCGUAUCUUUCCUCUCUCCUUUAGCAUGAGAGGUAUGGUGGCUUAAAGGCUCGCUCAGUCUACUGUUAACUCCUCCCCCUUUAUCCUUACAAACUUUCCUUCCAUGAACCUCCCGAAGGUCUAAUCCUGUCUUGACAUCCACUUCUCCAAAGACAGUGGUGCUGAUAGUGAUCUGCCAUAAGAGAAAGAUGAGCUUAGGGCCAUGCUCAGUCAACACUCAGCUGUCAAGGAGGACUCUCUCCCAAGAAGAAUGUGAAGAAAAGGUAAUCCCUGGCACAAGGUGGUAGGUAGCCUAACGCUGAGGAAUUUACCAGUGGUGACCCCGGGAAAGGUCCUGACAGGGCAACACCCUCUCAUGUGCAAUGAAUUAGGCAUUUGAACCACAUGCAAGCUGUAAUGUCUCCAAGGAUGGCAGAUUUGGUGGGUUAUGACCAAGUUGUGUUGAGGCCCUGUCAAAGGUAACGAGAAAAAAGGGAACUGGGGGACUCUUGUAGGUUACUAAACAGUAAAGGCCAUAUAUGAAUGCCAGAAAGCUUCUUUAGUUGCUUACCAAAGGGCCCUUAUCUCCUGGCAUGGAAGAGAAAUCAUAGCUGAGGAGCAAUCUCAGUAUCAGAGGGCCCAAGAGCUGCAGGGACUUUUCCAUAGUCCUCCAGAGCAAGUAUAUAAUUAUGCUAGGGAAACCAGGUGUUUUAAACAGGAGAUUGUGACCUCUGGGUAUAUAUCCCUGAAAAUAUGGGCUCCACAGGACCAUAUGAAUUCUCAGAGCUUGUCUUCCCACAAGGAACCGUCCCCACUCCUCCUCCUGGCUGCCCUCCCUCACAUGGGGGCUGCAGUGCCAUACCUGGCAUAACCUGGCUGGAUAAGUCCCAUGCACCACUCUGAGAAGAAUGGGAUCACACCAAAGUAGAUGCAAGAAUCCGUGUGAGGCAAGGACAAUGGUCCCAGGGAAUGAGGCCCACGCACUUCUAGAGGAACUCAGAAGCAGGUAGAAAACAAUAGCCUGUCCUGGACAAAGUCGAAAUGCUCAUUUACCAUGCUUGCUGGCACAACAAGGCUGAGAGAGAUAGGCAUGCUACCCUGCAUAUAUGAUGUGAGCCCAGAGGACCCAUCGGAAUGUACUUGGUAAAGACACAGAACAGACCAGUGGUUGCCAGAGGAAGAGGCAGAGGGGUGAGCAAUACAGGAGUGUGGGGGGUCAAAAGGCACAAAUUUCCAGUCGUGUCAUCAAUAAGCCCUGGGGAGGUGGUGUACAGCAUGGUGACCAUCGUUAAUAAUACUGCAUUCUGUAUUUGAAAGUUAUUGAGAGAGUAGAUCUUCAAAGUUCUCAUGGCAAGAAAAAGCUUUCCUGUAACUAUGGUGACAGAUGUUAACUAGACUUAUGGCUGUGUCUAUUGCCAUAUGUACACACGUUGAACAAUUACACUGCCAACUUGAAACGGAUAUGAUGCUACAGGUCAAUAUGCUACAGGUCAAUUAUACCUCAAUGAAAGGAAAACAACCAAACUGCUGGUGCAAGUAGAAACAUCACCUCUUAGGAGUUCAAUUGUGUCUCUCCUCUACAGGCCAGUCUGAUUGAUAAGACAGAUUGGCACGGAACGCUGUUUUUUAGCACCUAUGGCAAUAAUGAGGUCUCUCCAAGUAACAGAACCCAAGUGGCCGCAGCCAGGGACCCACGAUGACCCUAAAACUGCUCAAGAUUGGAGAGGUAGCAAAGGGGAUUCAACUAUAGGGACUUUUGUGGUGGUCACAAGCACAAGAUCUCCAGUGGCAAACAGAGCGCUUCUAACAUCUACAAUGGAAGAAGGCAAAACUGGAAAAGGAGGAGGCUGAGAAUGGUUACAACAAUAAAAAAUCAUGAUGCUUGUGCAGUUCCUGGAGCAAAGAGGAUUUGCAGAGGCAGACAACUAUGAACUGAACAGAUUGAACAGUGUCCCUAGGAGGAAGGACCUAUCAACAUAAUGGGACACAAGGUAACCUAUCAAUUCUCCCCGUCCCACGCCUACACGAGCUUGAUGGCCAUUACCCUGAGAGCCUGUACACUAGGAAUAGAGAAAUACUUUGGAUUCUCACACAUUGUCUCUGCAUUGACAUUAAUACUCAGAACUCCAAAGCAUCAUCAUACACCAUGUUAGAGUGGGAGCUUAUGGGCAUCAGACAGUAAGUGGAGUCCUAGCUGAUACACAGCCCACAGUGGGUUCAGUGGUCUGCAGCCCAAGCCCGGGGUCGCUUCCCCGAGUCUCCAGGUAUAUGACUGGGCUUGGUGUCUUUGGCAGUUAGAACAACAUCCCCACAGGGUGCUUGGCAUGUGGAGUAACAGCUCUCAUCAUCACGCUGCAGGUGGAAGACUCUUCGUUGUAGUUGUUGUUGUUUGUAAAGGGAGAUUUCUUGAGGUAUAACUGGUAUAGAAUAUAAUCCGCCAAAUGUAUGCGGUCAUGACGCCGCUACCCCAGUCAAGACACGGAACAUACCCUUUGCCCCCAAGACCUUCCCUGUGCCCCUCUGCAGUCAGCCCCCUCCCUCCAGUCCCUGACGACCACCAAUCUGCUCUCUGUCCCCACAGUUUUGCCUUUCCCCCGAUGUCAUAGGAAAUAGAGCCACACAGUCCUGCAGUCAGUCUACUGGAUCUGACUUUGUUCACUCAGCACCAUUUUGAGAUCCACCCCCAUGUUGUUGCGUGAGUCAGUAACUGGUUCCUCUUUAUUGCCAAGUAGCAGUCCAUCGUGUGGCUAUACCACUCUUGGUUGAUUCAUUCGCCGCUGAUGGACAUUUGGGUUGUUUUCACUUGGGGGCUAUUGUGAACAAGGCUGUUGUGAGCAUCUGCCUGCAGUUCUUUGUACGGACCCAUGUUCUCAGUGCCAUUUAGAAGGAGGAUCGCUGAGUGUGUAGUCCAGUGUGUGCUGACCUUGGUAGGAAACAGACAAACCAUUUUCCAAUGACCUCUAUAGUUUUGCAUCCCCCCCCUCCCCCGGCAAUAGAGGAGAACUAUGGUUGCUUCAUAUCCUCCUUGGCCCUUGGUGUUGUCAGUCUUAACAUUUGUUUUUGCCACCCCAGGGGCUGUGUCGUGGCAUCUUACUGUGGUUUAAAAUGUUUCUUUAUUUGAGAUAGCUGACACACAGUGUUACAUUACUUUCAGGUGUACAAUACAGUUGAUUCAACUUCUUCCAGUAAGUCCUGCUCUGCUUGCCACAAAUGAAGCUACCAUCUGUCACAAUGCUGUUGCAACAUCAUUGACUAUAUUCCCUAGGCUGUGCCUUUUAUUCCCGUGAUUUAUUCAUUGGCGGACAGUAGAUCCUGGUGCCAAGUGCCAAUGCAGAAGCACAUGUUUGACAAGGACAUAGUCAACAGGGGCUCAGACCUGUCAUGGAUGAUGGUCCAGGCCACUCUACCACAUAAGCCACCUGGACGAGAAGCAGGGAAACCACGUGCUCAAAUGUGGAAGAAGCCUCCAGCGGUUUUAUUUCAUACGUGAAGUCAUCGACCUGCAGCAUGCCACGCAGACCCCCAUUGCAGGUGUCCAGCGUGCCCAUGGACCCAGGGACCCCUUCCAGAUAUAUCUUGCAAGAAGUUGCAGGGGCCAAGUUCAGAAAGGGUGUUACAAUUGAACGCUAAAGCAUAAGUAUCUAGGAAUAAACCUGACCAAAGAGGUAAAGGAUCUAUACCCUAAAAACUACGGAACACUUCUGAAAGAAAUUGAGGAAGACACAAAGAGAUGGAAAAAUAUUCCAUGCUCAUGGAUUGGAAGAAUUAAUAUUGUGAAGAUGCCAAUGCUACCCAGGGCAAUUUGCACGUUCAGUGCAAUCCCUAUCAAAAUACCAUGGACUUUCUUCAGAGAGUUGGAACAAAUCAUCUUAAGAUUUGUGUGGAAUCAGAAAGGACACCGAACAGCCAGGGGAAUAUUGAAAAAGAAAACCAGACCCGGGGGCAUCACAGUGCCAGACUUUAAGUUAUACUACAAAGCUGUGAUCAUUAAGACAGUGUGGCACUGGCACAAAAACAGACACAAAGAUCAAUGGAACAGAAUAGAGAACCCAGAAAUGGGCCCUCAACUCUAUGGUCAACUAGCAUUCGACAAAGCAGGAAAGACUAUCCACUGGAAAAAGGACAGUCUCUUCAAUAAAUGGUGCUGGGAAAAUUGGACAGCCACGUGCAGAAGAAUGAAACUAGACCAUUCUCUUACACCAGACACAAAGAUAAACUCAAAAUGGAUGAAGGAUCUAAAUGUGAGACAAGAAUCCAUCAAAAUCCUAGAGGAGAACACAGGCAACACCCUUUUUGAAUUUAUUUAUUUAUUUUUAUUCAGAAAAUAUCUACGUAUUAUUGAAAGAUCCAGAGUGAGGCUUGGUCGGAAGGUGCUCUGAAUUCAUCUGGGCCAUCAUGUGGCCAAUGUCACUUUUCACUCAUCUUUUCUCCCCAUUUGCUCCAGGCAUGAUCUCCUAGGGUCCAAGUAGCAUACCAUUCACCUCUAGAGUGAUUAAAGUUCUGGAAGGGGAUGGAGUCUAGAGGGGAAUGCCAGCUUGGUCCGGUUCUGAGAGGAGCCCUCUUCGGGGCUGCAGACUGCUGGAUUCUGAAGGCUUAAAGAGACUUGUGUGUGUGUGUGUGUGUGUGUGUGUGUGUUGUGUGUGUGUGUGUGUGUGUGACUCAUAAACAGUUUAUGGUGUCUUUAGGAUGAAGUGUAGACAGAGAACGGUCUCUCAGAGACAGAGAAUCUUUAUCCCAGUGAGUUGGCUCAUUUGUCGUUUUCAUAGGCAGCUGGAGUCUUCCUCUGGGAAUACUCAGAACUCCUCGGUCCCCACCGUGUACACAAUACACUACAGAUGGUGGUGUCACACAGGAUGGACACCAGGUGCAGUGCCGCAUGCUGGGGAUGCCUUUGUUGAAGCAGGACAGGAAGGUGUGCUACUCCACAGGGUGUCAGGCUGUAGGCGACCACAUGCCCUGUCUGCAUCGGAUUCCCCAGCUCACGGGGGCCCAUGGUCCCAGCGGCACCAUGGUCACCCUGUUGUCCACAACUAUGGGACCGACCUUUAAAGUCACAAUUAGUAUUUUUAAAGAUUUUACUUAAUUGUUUGUUUAUUUAUUUAUUUAUUUAUUUAUUUAUUUAUUUGAGAGACAGAGAGAGCACAAGUGGGGAGCAGGAGGAGGGAGAAGCAGACUCCCCAGUGAGCAGGGAGACUGACAAGGGGCUCCAUCCCAGAACCCCUAGGUCACAACCCGAGCCGCAGGCAGACGCUUAACUGACUGAGCCACCCAGGUGCCCUAAAGUUGUUAUGACAUAUCUUCUUUUCCACUUUUGAGCUAAUCAAGAGAGGAAAAGAGAGAAGUUGCUAUGCAAUGUAUUUUGUUGAAUAAUACACAGAAUUCAUAGUCUGGCACCGUGUCACCUUAUAUAUGAAAGGAUGUUGUAAUGAGACAUAGUGAAUACUCCUAGGAAACUACUGGGAUGAUAAUCUCUCCUAAAGGACUCAAAGGCUUCCCCACCCUGUCCUGUAAAUUUUUAUUUACAAAAAUAAACAGCAUUUGAGUACUGAUCUCUUUUUCUCCUCGUACCAGAAAGGAAACAAAGAACAUGAACAAUCUACCUCCUAGCCAGAAAAAAAGUGUUUUAUAACCUCAAAACAAAUGUUUACUCACCAAGAGCCGUAAAUGGCUCAAAUUGGAGAUUUUGGUGGGAUUUUCACCAGUAACUAAACUACUGAAGCUGCAAACCA